AUUGUAAAAUCUGAAACUAAUUGUUGAUAAAAAAAAAACAUAAAACUAUAUCAUUUAGUCUGGGCUUUGAGAGGCUUUUGUACCACUUUGGAUUUUGAUAUGAAUUGAAAAUUGGCCAACAAAAAAAAGAAAUAAAAAUCAACAAACAAAGAAACCUUCACCAACCUGUGCCUCUAUUCCUCACACUACACUUAGAAAAAAAAAAUCAUCAUCACUCUCGAAACUCUUUCGGAGAAACUCUCACUCUCAUUUCUUCGAAUCGCGAUGACUCUGUCCGGCCAAACCUCCGACCGUAUCUCCAGAUCUAGAAGGGAAACUGGUUUCCGUGGGAGAAGACGACAUAUAAGAAGCAGAAGCUGAGAGGUGAAGCGGAGGAAGACGGCAUAGAAGACGAAAAAGCUAAGCCGUGGAUUUAUCGACGAAAUUAGAAGUUGGGAUCUCAAAACCGGGAAAGAUCUGCUUCGAUUCAAGUCGUGUGCUUCUCCGGCGCACAGCCGAAAACUUGGGUCGACUAAAGAAUCAAUUUUUCUAUCAAGCAACAAUGGGUCAAGUUCUCUUUUGCUCUCACACCUAUCCUCUCCGACGUUCUUGAAGGCUUAGUAGUUGCUUUCAUUUGUUAUCCCUUUUUUUUUUUUUUUUUCUUGUUCCGCUGUAGGAGCAUAGAUUUUCACUUUGAUUCUGCUGAAAACGAGUUUGAUUUAUCUGCUUGAUAUCGGUAGCCAAUGCUGAUGUGAUCCACUUAGUUGCCUUUUCGCGUUUCUCAUCCCCUGUGUGAUUGCAGAUGAGGGAGGAUAAGAAGUAGAAGAAUGAUGAAGGAGAAGUGAGGGAAGGAGUAGCGCAUCAAUAGCUUUGUUGCCACGCGGGUAUAUCUCUUGUCAUUUCUUUCAAAUGUCUAGCUCCAUCUGUUUUGGUCUCCAUGGAGAUCAAGUGUCAGCUGUUUUGGUUGAGUCUUGUGGCUUAAAGAACUUAAGGCUCAACUCGGCUCUCCUCAGUGUCACCAAAGUCACCGAAGACUGGAUUUGGAGAAGCUUGAAAGCGGUUGGCUGGAAGAAGAUAGGUCGAAGAUGAUGUUUGGCUUACAGAGAAAGCCACAGCCAAGCACACUCUUAGACAGAGCUCAUGAUGUACAACUUUAUUUCAGAGCGUAAGGUAAACUUUCAUUGGUUAAGACAUUUUCUUAUCCUAUUGUAUCUUUCGCUAUUAAGGUACAAUAUAUAUACUUUGCUACUUAUUGUUGUGAGACUUUUAUUAAAUCUGUCAAAGAGUCAUUUGUUUAGAAGCCUCUGUUGUAAUUUUUGUGAGGCUUUUUGUUGAAUUUGUCAAGAGUUAUUUGGUAAUACCGAUCUCUAGACACCUGUUUUAUAUGCACUCUUUAACUUGAGUCACCAUUGUCGAUCUUCUUACUCACACUCACGUUUUUAAGCUAGAAGACAUGUUAGUUAUAGUGAAUUGCUUGUCUCGAUUGUUUCUCAUUACUAGUCUCGAUUUUGAAAUUGUGUUAUAUUGAUAAUGGGAAAUGAGUCCCCAUGAUACAUUUUUUGUUUGUUUGUUCUGAAGAAAUGAGUUGCUCUUGGAACAUUAAUGGGAACUACCUAGGCUUCAAUGAUGGAAUACAAAGCAAUUGAGAAUGUGCUACAAACCAUUUAUUAUGUAGUUUUUCAUCUAUUCUUAUUUUUAGUUAUGAUUUUUAAUUUUAUUUUGUAAUACAAUUUUUUUGUAAUCAUGGUUUAUAAUAAUAAAUAUAGUACUCAAAAAAUAAUG